rnacentral:rRNA from 1 species
GACGAACGCUGGCGGCGUGCUUAACACAUGCAAGUCGAACGGAAAGGCCCUGCUUUUGUGGGGUGCUCGAGUGGCGAACGGGUGAGUAACACGUGAGUAACCUGCCCUUGACUUUGGGAUAACUUCAGGAAACUGGGGCUAAUACCGGAUAGGAGCUCCUGCUGCAUGGUGGGGGUUGGAAAGUUUCGGCGGUUGGGGAUGGACUCGCGGCUUAUCCGCUUGUUGGUGGGGUAGUGGCUUACCAAGGCUUUGACGGGUAGCCGGCCUGAGAGGGUGACCGGCGACAUUGGGACUGAGAUACGGCGCAGACUCCUACGGGAGGCAGCAGUGGGGAAUAUUGCACAAUGGGCGGAAGCCUGAUGCAGCAACGCCGCGUGCGGGAUGACGGGCUUCGGGUUGUAAACCGCUUUCGCCUGUGACGAAGCGUGAGUGACGGUAAUGGGUAAAGAAGCACCGGCUAACUACGUG